UCCUUGGUAGCAGGUCAUCACGUCCCUUAUCCACACUGGCGUGACUUCAGUGACUGCCAUCAUUCUAAAUUCUUUUCCUCCCUUCUAGAUAAAGCAUUUGCCACCUGAUUUUCCAUCCCUUGUUUGUAUUGUAUUUCAUAGUCGAGCCCCAAUAACUUGGAUAACCAUUUCUAUUGUAGUGAGGUAGUAACUCUUUGCUCCAGUAGGUACUUGAGUGAUUGGUGGCCUAUUUUAAUUAAGAAGUGGUGGCCUUCAAGGUAAUGUCUUCACUUAUUCAUUGCUGUAAACAAUGCCAGUAGCUCAUUUUCAUAGAUGUAUAGGCCUAAGUUCUUGCUAUUUGUGCCUUUACUUAGAUAAGCUAAUGGCCUCCUAUUUUGCAUUAUGAUAGCUACAAUCCCUCCAUAACAUGCAUCAGUUUCAAUUAUGAAAAGUGAGGAAAAAGUCUGGUAAUGAUUACACGGGUGUGGUACUUAUAGCCUUUUUUAAUUCCUGAAAAGCCACACCAACAGCCUUACUCCAAUUAAAGUUGUCUUUCUUCGGUAAUUCAGUUAGGGGUCUGGCCAUAGCCCCAUAACCCUUUACAAUUUGAGAAUAAUCAGCUGCUCCUUUCUUUUGCAGAGAUGAUGUGUUCGAUGUAUUCUAUUUUAGACCGGCCAAAAGAACAUUUACCCUCUUUGGUAAAAAGCUAGUGGUGUUUGAAGAGCUCCAAUACCAUAGUGACAUGUUUACAAUGAGAUUUCAAGUCUUGGUUAUAAAUGAAUAUGUCAUCAAAGAAUACCAAAACAAAUUUCCUGAGAUGCUGAUUAAAUAUUUCAUUCAUCAUUCAAUUGAAAGUUGCAGGAGCAUUGUUAAACCCAAUUGGCAUUACCCUGAAUUCAUACAGCCUGUCAUGUGUUUUGAAGGUUGUUUUAAGGGUGUCCUCUUCUGCCACCCUAAUUUGGUGGUAUCCAACCCUCAAAUUAUUUGUAAACCAUCUUACACCCUUUAAUUCAUCCAAUAGCUCAUCUAUGACUGGCAUGGGAUCUUUUCCUUAAUGGUGAAACUAUUCAACUGUCUAUAGUCUACGCAAAACCUCCAUGUGCCAUCCUUCCUUUUCACUAGUAGGAUAGGAGAGGCAUAGGGGCUAUUACUAGCCCUUAUGAUUCCAUUUUCUUUCAUUUCCUUUAAUAUUCUUCAAUCUUCGCUUUCUG
rnacentral:lncRNA from 1 species